UAAUUCUUUCGUUUCAAUUGAACCCUCAAACCGAGUUGUUUGCAAAUUUUGCCUUUUGCUUAUGUCUAAAAAGUAGGGAGCAUUAUUGAAUAAAUUUGGUUGUGGAAUCUAAAGUUGGGGAGAGUAAAGUAAAAAGAGUUGAUUAGAAAAUUGGAAAAGUGAUGUUUUAUAAAAGGGUGAAAGUAUGAAAAGAAACAAGAAAAAGAAAUCACCCUUGAAACUAUAGAGCAAAGAAAAAGAAAAGAAAAGAAAACAAAGAAAAAGCUCAUGGUUGUGUGGAUGUAAAAUAAGAAAAGAAGAAAGACGGGGAUCAAAGAAAUGGAAAUUGUGUAGAGUUGAAUGUAUGGGAAUGCUCCCUUAGGAUAGGCAUUUUUGUUGAAUUCUCUUAAUCAUAUCCUUUCUUGUAACCCAAGCCACAUUAUAACCCUUGAAAGACCUCUUGAUUCUCAUUUUUCACAUGAUUUGGUAUUUGUUUUGAUGACCGCAUGAUUCGAGUUGUUGUUGAUUUAAUUGCUUGGAUGAGUGAAAGUAAACCUUCAUG
rnacentral:lncRNA from 1 species